rnacentral:rRNA from 1 species
CAGAUUGAACGCUGGCGGCAGGCUUAACACAUGCAAGUCGAGCGGGGGAAGGUAGCUUGCUACUGGACCUAGCGGCGGACGGGUGAGUAAUGCUUAGGAAUCUGCCUAUUAGUGGGGGACAACAUUCCGAAAGGAAUGCUAAUACCGCAUACGUCCUACGGGAGAAAGCAGGGGACCUUCGGGCCUUGCGCUAAUAGAUGAGCCUAAGUCGGAUUAGCUAGUUGGUGGGGUAAAGGCCUACCAAGGCGACGAUCUGUAGCGGGUCUGAGAGGAUGAUCCG